rnacentral:rRNA from 1 species
ACUGAGACACGGUCCAAACUCCUACGGGAGGCAGCAGUGAGGAAUAUUGGUCAAUGGGCGNNAGCCUGAACCAGCCAAGUAGCGUGAAGGAUGAAGGCUCUAUGGGUUGUAAACUUCUUUUAUAAGGGAAUAAAGUNNGGCACGUGUCCCGUUUUGUAUGUACCUUAUGAAUAAGGAUCGGCUAACUCCGUGCCAGCAGCCGCGGUAAUACGGAGGAUCCGAGCGUUAUCCGGAUUUAUUGGGUUUAAAGGGAGCGUAGGCGGMCUUUUAAGUCAGCKGUGAAAGUCUGCGGCUCAACCRUAAAAUUGCMGUUGAAACUGGSAGKCUUGAGUACGUUUGAGGCRGGCGGAAUKCGUGGUGUAGCGGUGAAAUGCUUAGAUAUCACGMAGAACYCCGAUUGCGAAGGCAGCCYGCCAAGCCGURACUGACACUGAUGCUCGAAAGUGUGGGKAUCAAACAGGAUUAGAUACCCUGGUAGUCCACACAGUAAACGAUGAUUACUMGCUGUUUGCGAUAUACUGUAAGCGGCCCAGCGAAAGCGUUAAGUGAUCCACCUGGGGAGUACGCCGGCAACGGUGAAACUCAAAGGAAUUGACGGGGGCCCGCACAAGCGGAGGAACAUGUGGUUUAAUUCGAUGAUACGCGAGGAACCUUACCCGGGUUUGAAUUGCUUCUGACUGAGGUGGAAACACCUUUUC